CGCGUAGACGGCUUUUUAAGUCUGGAGUGAAAGUCCUGCUUUCAAGGUGGGAAUUGCUUUGGAGACUGGAAAGCUUGAGUGCGGAAGAGGUAAGUGGAAUUCCCAGUGUAGCGGUGAAAUGCGUAGAGAUUGGGAAGAACACCAGUGGCGAAGGCGACUUACUGGGCCGUAACUGACGUUGAUGCGCGAAAGCGUGGGGAGCGAACA
rnacentral:rRNA from 1 species